rnacentral:lncRNA from 1 species
GGAAUUGAGUUGACAGUUGAAGUAAUACUCAAGAAAUUGAUUUAGAACAUUAAAACUAAUUAUUUUAACAGAGUAAAAAAUUGAAAAACAGAAUUGAAUUUUCAACUCUACGAGUGUAUGUAGACAAGAAUUCAGAAAAGAAUUUAGGCACAAAACAGUUGACGAAAUCAAGAACUGAAAUUUGACUAUUGGAAUAGAACUUCAAACAGCAAAACUAUGGAUUUAAACUGGAACAAUAUACCUGAAAAAAAGAAACGAAAAUGCAAUGUUUUACCAAAAUGACAACGAGUACACUGAGAUCAACUUCGGAAGAUCAGAGAGAAGAAAACUCACCAAUGGAAAAUGAUUUCCAGUUCCUUCUCCAACUCUUCUCCCUGGUUUUAUAACUUCCUGCCCUCUUUCAUUUUUUCAAUUUAUUCG